rnacentral:rRNA from 1 species
GGCCUGGCCGGGCGGUCCGCUUAACAGCGUGUACUGUCUGGCUGGGUCUUACCUCUUGGUGAGCUGGCGUGCCCUUUACUGGUGUGCGUCGGGGAACCAGGACUUUUACCUUGAGAAAAUUAGAGUGUUCAAAGCAGGCGCUCACGCUUGUAUACAUUAGCAUGGAAUAAUGGAAUAGGACUGUGGUCCCGUUUUGUUGGUUUUCAGGACCGCGGUA